GACGAACGCUGGCGGCGUGCUUUACACAUGCAAGUCGAACGGUAAGGCCCUUCGGGGUACACGAGUGGCGAACGGGUGAGUAACACGUGGGUGAUCUGCCCUGCACUUCGGGAUAAGCCUGGGAAACUGGGCCUAAUCCCGGAGAGGACCACUGCCUGCAUGGGUGGGGGUGGAAAGCUUUUGCGGUGUGGGGUGGGCCCGCGGCCUAUCAGCUUGUUGGUGGGGUGAUGGCCUACCAAGGCGACGCCGGGUAGCCGGCCUGAGAGGGUGACCGGCCACACUGGGACUGAGAUACGGCCCAGACUCCUACGGGAGGCAGCAGUGGGGAAUAUUGCACAAUGGGCGCAAGCCUGAUGCAGCGACGCCGCGUGAGGGAUGACGGCCUUCGGGUUGUAAACCUCUUUCAGCACCGACGAAGCGCAAGUGACGGUAGGUGCAGAAGAAGGACCGGCCAACUACGUGCCAGCAGCCGCCGUAA
rnacentral:rRNA from 1 species